ensembl:lncRNA
AUGCGCUGCUCUCAGGGCAGGAGUAAUCAAAAUUCAUAUAACUGUUAUUUUACUAAACUAUGCACUGCUCUCAGGGCAGGAGUACUCAAUAUUCAUAUUACUGUUAUUUUAAUAAACUAUGUGCUGCUCUCAGGGCAGGAGCACUCAAUAUUCAUAUUACUGUUAUUUUAAUAAACUAUGUGCUGCUCUCAGGGCAGGAGUACUCAAUAUUCAUAU